UCUAGCUUAUGGUCUCCCCUCAUUAUUUUUAGGAUGAGGGGGGUAGGUAGGGGUUAUUUUUUGGGGGAGGGGGGUGACGGGAGGGUUACAUUUUUAUUUAGGGCCUCCACCCACUGUGCAGUGGUGCGGUCCGGGGGGGCAGGACAAUAGGUCCCCCCCUUAUUCUAAAUUUAGGGCCCCUACCCGCCGCUCAGUUGUGGGGGCAGGGGGGGAGGACAGUAGGUUCCUCCCC